rnacentral:rRNA from 1 species
CGAAGGGUGCAAGCGUUACUCGGAAUUACUGGGCGUAAAGCGUGCGUAGGUGGUUCGUUAAGUCUGAUGUGAAAGCCCUGGGCUCAACCUGGGAAUGGCAUUGGAUACUGGCGACCUAGAGUGCGGUAGAGGGUAGUGGAAUUCCCGGUGUAGCAGUGAAAUGCGUAGAUAUCGGGAGGAACAUCUGUGGCGAAGGCGACUACCUGGACCAGCACUGACACUGAGGCACGAAAGCGUGGGGAGCAAACAGGAUUAGAUACCCUGGUAGUCCACGCCCUAAACGAUGCGAACUGGAUGUUGGGUGCAACUUGGCACUCAGUAUCGAAGCUAACGCGUUAAGUUCGCCGCCUGGGAAGUACGGUCGCAAGACUG